rnacentral:rRNA from 1 species
UACGUAGGUGGCAAGCGUUGUCCGGAAUCACUGGGCGUAAAGCGCGCGCAGGCGGCGAUCUACGUCUGGGGUGAAAGCCCAGAGCUCAACUCCGGGACUGCCUUGGAUACGGGAUCGCUUGAGGACUGGAGAGGCAAGGGGAAUUCCAGGUGUAGCGGUGAAAUGCGUAGAUAUCUGGAGGAACACCGGUGGCGAAGGCGGCGUCCUGGACCAACACUGACACUGAGGAGCGAAAGCCAGGGGAGCAAACGGG